rnacentral:rRNA from 1 species
GACGAACGCUGGAGGCGUGCUUAACACAUGCAAGUCGAACGAUGAGAUGGAGCUUGCUCCAUGGAUUAGUGGCGAACGGGUGAGUAACACGUGAAUAACCUGCCCUUAAUUUUGGAAUAACCCAGGGAAACCUGGGCUAAUACCGGAUAAGUAAACCUGUGGCAUCACAUGGUUUUGGAAAGUUUUUCGAUUAAGGAUGGAUUCGCGGCCUAUCAGCUUGUUGGUGAGGUAAUGGCUCACCAAGGCGACGACGGGUAGCCGGCCUGAGAGGGUGAACGGCCACACUGGGACUGAGACACGGCCCAGACUCCUACGGGAGGCAGCAGUGGGGAAUAUUGCGCAAUGGACGAAAGUCUGACGCAGCGACGCCUCGUGAGGGACGAAGGUCUUCGGAUUGUAAACCUCUUUCAGCAGGGACGAAGCGAAAGUGACGGUACCUGCAGAAGAGGCACCGGCUAACUAUGUGCCAGCCGCCGCGGUAA